CUAGGGAUGAGAGCCUAUCGUCUGUGCCUAUUGCCUCAAGUAAAAUCCAAUUGUGAAAAAUUGUUAUUUAACAUAUGUGCUCAAAUAUUUUUCAGGAUUAUUAUGAUGACAAUGAAGACUGGAGGAAUUGGAAGGAUGAUUGGAAUGAAGAAGAACCAAUGGAUGAAGACUAUAGAAUGCACAAUGAAGAUUACCCAAAUGAAGAAAUGCAUAUGCAAGGUCCUUAUCCUCCCAUGCAAGGCCCUCCGAUGCAAGGACCUUUCCCUCCAAGACCUCCUAUGUUUGAUGGAAAUGGGCCUGGCCCUCUCGGCCCAGGUGGCCCUGGUCCCCAUGGUCCAGGUGGUCCUGGACAUCACGGUCCUGGUGGUCCUGGUCCUCACGGUCCAGGUGGUCCCGGUCCCCACGGUCCAGGUGGUCCUGGGCCCCACGGUCCAGGUGGUCCUGGUCCCCACGGUCAAGGUGGUCCCGGUCCCCACGGUCAAGGUGGUCCCGGUCCCCACGGUCAAGGUGGUCCUGGUCCUCAUGGUCCAGGAGGUCCUGGCCCUCAUGGUCCUGGUGGUCCUGGCCCUCAUGGUCCUGGUGGUCCUGGUCUACAUGGUCCAGGUGGUCCUGGCCCCCGUCCUGGUUUUGGGCCGCCUCGAAUGAUGGGCCCACGGCCAAUGGGGCCUCCUGGCCAGCAGUUCCAGGAUAUGUCACAUGGUCAACCAAGAUUCCCCCCUCCUCACUUCAAUCAAGGAGAUGGGGAAGGAGAAUAUAUGGAUGGCCAUGGGCCAGGUGGGCCUGGUCCUCAUGGGCCAGGUGGGCCUGGUCCUCAUGGUCCAGGUGGUCCAGGGCCUCGUGGUCCAGGUGGUCCUGGUCCUCAAGGUCAAGGUGGUCCGGGUGGUCCAGGGCCUCGUGGUCCAGGUGGUCCUGGUCCUCAUGGUCAAGGUGGUCCUGGUCCUCGUGGUCCUGGUCCUCGUGGUCAAGGUGGUCCUGGUCCUCGUGGUCCAGGUUUUGGGCCACCUCGGAUGAUGGGCCCACGACCAAUGGGACCCUCUGGUCCUCCGUUCCAGGAUAGAUCACAUGGUCAGCCAAGAUUUCCUCCACCUCACUUUAAUCAAGAAGAUGGGGAAGAAGAAUACACGGAAAACAAUGAAGAGGAAUAUGAUGAAAAUUACGACAAUAAUUAUGAUCAAAACCAAUUUAAUGAUGGUUACCAUGGCAAUGAUGACCGGUCCAACUUUAGACCCAAUGGUGAAGGUUGGGAUGAAAACUAUUGGGAUGAAAACCAAGAAGAAAUGGAAGACGACAGUUAUAACAACUACGAUGAAGGCAUGAAUCGAGGGAUGCCUCGGGGCCGAAGCAGAGGGCGGCCUCCGUUCAGGGGUCGUGGGCGUGGUCGAGGUCGAGGCAGGGGUAGAGGUAGGGGUGGCAAGCCUGAUUGGUUUGAUGACAGUAAUAGCAAUUACGAUAAUAAUGUAAAUAACAGUAGUAACUUUAGUAGGGGUGGUGGUCAUUCACGAGAUGAUGAUGAAUCAAGAUUCAAAGGCCACAAGAGGUUUGAAGAGGGCGAAGAGAGGCCCCGAGGUCGAGGGCGAGGUAGGGGUGGACCCAAAAGAGCCAGGACUCGGGGUAGGGGUUGGUGAACAUGGAUGUCAGAAAUUUUAAUGGUCACCUCAAUAACUCCUUCAUUCAUUGAUGAUUGUAUUACAAUAGUAUUUCUCCACUUUUGUGCCUCUGAACAAUUUGUUUUAUGGCUUUUAGCUGUGCCAUUUGUUUGGGUUCAUUGCUGCUUUACACAUUCAACAAUUUUGAGGUUUCUUUAAACUGGAUGUUACUGAGCUGACCUUCAAGAGCAGCAUCAAGGCUACAUUUCCCUUAUGCAACUUUUUCAAUCUACUAGAGCAAAACCUCACUGCCACCAUAAAAAUGUAUUAAUUUUUAUAAUGAAGUAGAUUUUUCUAAGCUCUAUUCCCUUUUUUACUCUUUUCGUGGAUUCUUGUGUGCAAAGGAUAAUUUCCUAGUCUACCACCCCACUGUUGCGACUACCAAAUUUCUAUGUGCUCAAGCUUCAUGAAAGCCAAAUUUUUUUUACCUUUACAUACAUUUAGCUCUGUAGUGCUCUCAGCAUUUCUUUUAUUGUAUCUUUUCUGUAAAUUUUGCUCGAAAGUCUUUGGUUAUUUAUAUUAGUCUCUCAUCAUGAGAUGGAAUUGAAGGAAAUAAUGAUGACGUUGAGUAAUAUAUCUCCUUCCAAAUAAUUUCCCAACAUUCAAAAUUUUCCUUUAAGGCUGAGUAAAUUUAACCAAAAUUAAAGCUCAGAGGAAUUUUUAAAAUAAAAAUACCUCGGUCGUUACAUAUUUCGAAUUUUAUUUUUUAUUAUCCAAAGUAUUUAUCUCAGUAAAAAAAAAAGGUGGCUGUGAAGGUUGAAAUCGGUUUGUUCUGGUCUUAUGCCGCCGGUCAUCGACCAUUCAUUAUGGAACAACUUUAUGACUGUGAUUUCAGGUUAAAUCAAUCAGUUAGCUAACUCAACCGGUCACCAUGCCUUAUACAGUCAACAAAGACGCUGUGGUGUCCAUAAUAAUCGGUGUUAUUGUCAACCUGAAAAAAUUCAAAUGUUUUUCAAGGAUCCCUGUUUUUUUGCCUCUCAAUAACUGUUCAUGAUUCAAGUUUGGAGUUAGAAGAAAAAUCUGAAACAUUUUAAACUUUUAAUCAAAGAAUAAUGAUACGUUCCACCUCAUCUGUAUUUCCACUAUCUUAUCUUCAAACCUAUUUAUUCUCUGUAUCAAGUAUGUAGGUCUUUUUUUCCUCUAGUCUGCUAAUUUGUAUUGCAUGAAAGCAAGAAUGUUUUUGAGUCCAGACCAUUGAUUGCUUAUCAAAAUUAUUUGUGAAAUCAUGAUUGUCUCUUGUAAUUUGCACUUCUACUUCAUAGUUCAUGAAGUAAUUUACAGCGAUUUUAGUUUUUUGAAGAAACAUUAUUUAAUUCUUUUGGCCCCUACUUACUUAAUUUUUCUUCUUCAAUACCUGUCACUUUUUAAAUGAUUCAGAGACAUUUUCUAAGUUUUUUGGGCAUUCCAUUGAAUUUUAGAAUAUUGCACCUUCCUUGAAUGUUUUAGGUAUUGUUUUCAUUAAAAAAUUUCUUGGGUGUCCACAAAAUUGAAUAUAAGUUUUUCUGCCGGAGGGAAAAGAAACCCCUGAUUUUCUCCAAUGAUAUGAUUUUAUUUUGGUGCGGGUAGGGAAAUAUUAGCAUGCAGUGGGAGGACCUUUUAAUCCUACCGAAUUUAUAAGCACUACAAAGUUAUCAGCAUUGUAGGAAAACAGUAAUGAUUGUACAAAAUUUUUUGAGCAAAGCUGUGCAUAAAAAUUAUACUCUCCUUGUUUUGUAAAAGAUAGUUUAAGAUCGAUACUUGUCACUAAUCUUGUAUCUUUAGGAAAUUUUCAUAAAAUAUGUAAGGCUACAGGACUUUUCGAUCUCCUCUCCCCCUCCCUCAUAAUGCUUUUGUUACACAUGUCUCUAUCCUUGAACAUAUAAAAACAAAAUGGCUUAAUGCUCUCUUCAAACUCCUCCUCCUUGGAGCGUUACAUAUUUUAUGAACAGCCCUUAUUUUACGCUGCCAACCAUAUUUUUAUGCUUUUAAAUUAAAAAAAAAGUCCACCUAAAAAAGAAGUUUUGAAAAUUUAAUGUACGCGUAAUAGAUAAGAAUUGGUAACAUGCUGGUUAGGGACGUAAACAUGAUUGGUAAAGGAAAAACACAGCUUGCUGGCAACCAAGAAGUGAGAAGCAUUCAGAAACCAUUCAAAACUCUAUUAAAGCCAGUUGAGCUCCGUAACUCCAUGUAACUGGACUGUAACUUCAGUUUGGAGUUUUUAACCUUUUCGCAGAUACCUAGACAUCUUUUGCAUAAUGUGUCACUUGAAGGACCAUUCUGCAAAAUAAGUCUGGUUACAAAAGGAUUUUGAGAAAACCUGCAAUCCUCUCCAGGCAAAGCUAUGUCUUUUCACAGUUUUCUUCUCAGUUAAUGGUAGCCUCCGGGUAUACAAUUUUACCUAAACCAGCCUCCAAAUUUUCAUACUGUAAUCUGAUCUAUACUUCGAACAAUUAUAUUCUCUCUUAACCUUUUCAAUGUAGCGAUGGACUUCUUUAGCGUACAGUGCAUCCAUUUUUCUACAAGGAAUGAGUUUUUUUUUGUUUGCAGAACCUUACUUUUCAACUCUAAUCCAGGUCAUUAAGUUUUUCAACUGCUGCUUUUGGCUUUUUUCCCCCUUGCAUGUUGUCAUUCCUCCAAUAUUCUUGGAUUUAUUUGUGCAGCCUGCUUCAGUAGAUUCUCUCAUGAUAUUGGAUUGUUAAAAUAUGUAUGCCUGUCACUUUUUUGAAGGAGAUAAAAGAAAAAUUUAAUCUGUUUGGUUUUUGAGCCCUUACAGCAUCUCUUUUUUCUCUGCUGAUAAUAAAAAAAUAGGAAGUAGUUUUAUGGAUAGGAAUCGCUGAACGUUAUUUUUUGAGUUUUCGGGUAUGGAGAUCCUACUCAAAGUACAAACUUCUAAUUCUUGUAGGGAAGAGGGCAAAACUGACGAAACAAAUGUUUUUCUUGUUUGAGACUUAUUUGAGUUUUACCAUAUGAACCUAAUUUUUAACCAUGAAGGUGUACGUAACAAUCACUUUCUACCUACUUUUAAAAUGCUGCAAUUGAAGCAUAUACCUAAUUGUCUCUGAAGUUCAGCUCUCGAAAUGUUGCAAUAAAGGGCGUAUUGAAUUUCUUAUGAAUGAUUUUCCAACAGGAUCUCUAAGAUGUGCAAGUGUGAGGCGACAUUAUAAUCAAAUCAGAGACAGGAGACAGUCCAGGGAAGACAUCAAGAAAGUAAAUUCCACACAACAUUGCCUUUUGAUGUAUAAUAUUGAUUGUGCCCAUUUUUGCAAAAGAGUGCUAUCCAUAGAAUAAAUGCUUUGUAAAUAGCCUCCAUUUGCAAAGAUGAACCCAACUGUCCAUUAGGUACUGAUAUUAUCCUCAAAUUGUACGUUUGCUUAAUGAAAUCAACUCCAUGCACUGUUUGAAUACAGAAAAUAGAAGGCAUUUAUGAAGCAUCGGAUUUUAGAUCACAGUCAAUAAUUUUGUGGCGGAUUGAUCAGUUUUUUGAUUCUGUUUAUUUGUACGCAAUGAUUUGUAUCUUCAAGUCACAACAUAAGAUAGUACCUAAUUAUGACCAGAUACCUGUUUAUUCACUCAAAAUCUGUCAAUGACCAUGCUUACAUUACAAUUUCCCAAUUAAGAGUUAGGCACUUCAUUGAACCAUUCGUUAGAACCAGACCCUUUUUAUGUAAGAAUUCAAUUUGCAACAAAAACUUUUCAAAAACUGAUCUCUUAGGCGUAGGUGGUUUCAAAUGCAGCAAGUCGAUUUUAAAAUGAGGUAUUUGUGAAGAAUUGAAGGAAUUAAUGCAUUUUAGUUUCUGUCAUAAAACCGAUUUCUUUUCCCUUUUUUUCUCUUUCAGAAUGCAUUUUAUUUUUAGAAGUUUUGUCAGAGUUGUGCAUUUUGUAGGCCAUAGCCAGCCAAGAAUAGGUUUUAGACUUACCUAAAGAAGAUCAAAAUCUUCUACAAUGGUUUCAAUCCAAACUUUUAUGAGGAUACAUAAUGAGAACUCGAAGGAAUAAACCAAAAUCCUUUAUUGUGAAUCCAGAUCUCUCUUUAAGAAUUUUCUGAUUGUGUGAUAUAAAAUUUAAACCCUACCUCAACGAUGAAUUGAUUUUUUUUGGCACAGAAGUGUACCCACUCUUUAUGACGAAAAAGAGACCAUCAAUCUGUAUCUAUUGUGUAUGUAUGUAAAGUUCAAUCGCAAAAUUUUAUAAAAUAAAAAAAGUUUGUUUCAAUAGUCGUGACUUCAAUUUCGAAACCUGCAAAAACCUGCUUCCACAGCUUACUUGAGGAUGAUAAGUAGCUUUAGCUUACUCAAAGAUGGUGAAAA
rnacentral:lncRNA from 1 species